UACGGAAGGCAGCAGUGGGGAAUAUUGCACAAUGGGUGCAAGCCUGAUGCAGCCAUGCCGCGUGUAUGAAAAAGGCCUUCGGGUUGUAAAGUACUUUCAGUCGUGAGGAAGGUGUUAAGGUUAAUAACCUUAGCAAUUGACGUUAGCGACAGAAGAAGCACCGGCUAACUCCGUGCCAGCAGCCGCGGUAAUACGGAGGGUGCGAGCGUUAAUCGGAAUUACUGGGCGUAAAGGGCACGCAGGCGGUUAAUUAAGUUGGAUGUGAAAUCCCCGGGCUUAACCUGGGAAUGGCAUUCAAGACUGGUUAGCUAGAGUCUUGUAGAGGGGGUAGAAUUCCAUGUGUAGCGGUGAAAUGCGUAGAGAUGUGGAGGAAUACCGGUGGCGAAGGCGGCCCCUGGACAAAGACUGACGCUCAUGUGCGAAAGCGUGGGGAGCAAACGAGGAUUAGACU
rnacentral:rRNA from 1 species